rnacentral:rRNA from 1 species
UACGAAGGGGGCUAGCGUUGCUCGGAAUCACUGGGCGUAAAGGGCGCGUAGGCGGCCAUUCAAGUCGGGGGUGAAAGCCCAGGGCUCAACCCUGGAAUUGCCUUCGAUACUGUUUGGCUAGAGACCGGAAGAGGUAAGUGGAACUGCGAGUGUAGAGGUGAAAUUCGUAGAUAUCAGGAGGAACACCGGUGGCGAAAGCGGCUACCUGGCCCGAUACUGACGCUCAUGGACGAAAGCGUGGGGAGCAAACAGG